CCGCUUCUUUCUUUGACAGAAUCUCCUCAGGAAACUCAGGCUGACCUCAGAUCUGUGAUGUGUGUGUGUGAAUGUCUCCAGUAUUAGAGAUCCAGGCAUGUGCCAUAACACCCAGCUUCUUCGUUUUGUGUUAUGAUGUCCUAAGCCAGGUAACUCCUGGGAGGUGUAUUAAGAAGCGCCCUAUUCCUGGCACAAGGCAUUAGACCAGCCAUCAUGCAGGCCAGCAUCUCUAGCUAGCCAUACCUCCUGGUUUCUGGUGACCAGCCUGCUACAGACAUUGCUUUAUUACAAACUGCCCAAAACAUAAUGGCCUCAACAAAAUGACAUCAUCGCUGUUUAUGAUUCUGUGGUGAGUGGGCCUAUACGGAAGUGUCUCUCUGGGAAUUUACAGACAAUGGAUCUGAAGCCUCAGCUAUGCUGAAUGUUGGAUCAGUUUUGGGGACUGAGCCCCCAGCCUGUGGAAUCUGAUGCUAUCUACAGGCAAAACAACUGAGUUAGAAGACACCCAACUGGUCCUUUGGAGAACUGACUUAUCGGAAAAGGAAACCAGCGUCCCACACACUUCCUGGUGCUCAAGGUGUCUGAAGAGCUGCUCCUUCCCAUCUGAGGCUGUCACCAUGUUUGGAGAGAGUUGCCUUCAUUCAGGCUGUGGAGCCGAGCUCUAACUGGGGGUGUAGGGACCCCUUUGCUCCUAGUGUUACAGCCCUGGGCUCCGAUGUCGGUGGCUCGGCCCCCAGCAGUCAGUGCUGAAGCUCCAGCUUGGUUAGGGCACCUGGCCCUCGGCCCUGCUCUUCCAGCUCUGGGCAGCUUCUUAGCUGCUGUCAGGACCCAUGAAUGUUCCCGGGGCGAGGCUCGCCGCUGGCCCUCAGUAGUCCCUCCUCUUCAGUCUCGGCCCUUUACGGCUUUCUAUCUUCUGAAGUCUCUACUCACCGCCAUCACUUCGCCCACAGCUCCUUCAGAGCAUCAGGAUCUCGAGUCUGUGCUCACAGCUGUUCACGACUCUUGUCCCCUCUAUGGGCGGCUUGUGCGUCUGGGACCAGCAGCCCCUGGAAUCGUCUGUUCUUCACGCAACGAGUCUGGCCUGCUCUACCUGUGAUAAAAAGACAAAAGGUGGCUAGAUAAAGCUCUACCUGUAAUUAAAAAAAAAUAGGCAGUUUAUAGGAGGAGGGCUCCCAGAAUGCUAGAGGAGCACCCUUCACUCAGCCAGCCUCUGCCCUCGCUGUCGUGGGGACAUCUUCCUCACUCAGUUGAGGAUGUCAUCACGAAGGUCGGAGCACCCGUGGCAGGGAUAUCUGAAGAUGUAGUGGACCUCGUCCUCUGAGGGUCGGCGUCUGAAGUCGUCACGGCCUAGGCCGAGGCUCCCAGACACCUGAGGCUUAGGGUGGUGGUCAAGACAGCUGUGUUAGUCCCCCUCAACGGAAGGAAGUUUCUCUGGGCUACCAGCAAGUGGCUGAUGUCUUCUAGCAGAGUCAUGGGCCGGAUUCAAAUCUUCUUCAGGUAGCUACAAGGGUUUAAAACUGACUGCCCUGGUAACGGCUGGAUAAAUAACUGAGGCGACUUGAUUGACAGCUCCCGCAGCCUCCGUGGAAAUGGCUGCGGGCCCUUCAGCAGCAGCGGUGAUAUUGCUCACAGUGUCAGGGGACUCAGGAACUGUGGAGACGACAGCUGUGAGCCCUGAUCCAGCCUUCAUCUCUGCAGGUCGGGGACAGGUGCUUGGUUUGGCCUUGGUAACCAACUGUUGCUUCAGCUAGGCAUUGGGAAAGGUCCGACAGCUGUCAAUCAAGUCUCCCACUUACCCCAUCAGAGAGAUCCCAUCUUUUGAAAGGGAAAGUGUGUAAGGGGUGCUUGUGAAGACUUGACACACGGGUUUACAUACUUUUUCUUCAGCAAUUUUUUUUCCCUGAUUAUUUGUGACCUUCGGCCAACUAGCCUUAGGGAGGGGCAUGGGCUCUUGGUCUGUGUCCUCACUCACCACUGAUGCUGAAAACGCUCACGCCCCUUUCUUCUAGCUGUUUGGAAUAUGUAAUGCGUUGUUAUUGUCUAAGCCACCCUACCAUGUAAGCACGCCAGAGCGCCUCACUGCCCUCUAACUGGAACUCAGUGCCCCAGGAUCUGCCGGCCGCCUCGCCCCUCACCGGUGUUUUGUAACUGAGUCAUAUCGGGAACACUGACGACGAGGAAGAGAACUUUAAGGUGCUGACUUCCUAGAAGCCAGCAGACUUGGUACUCAUUUCCAAACUCGCUUUUGAACGAGGCUGGUCUUCCCUUCCGCUCUGGUUUGCUUCUUUUCUUAGAAUUGUAUUUGAACAAGAAGACAAAGCAAAUUUAAAAACAGGCAUUUCCUCUGUCCUCUGCUCACUUAGGCCUGCCCCCCCCCACCUCUGCCUCCCCCCAAACGUCAGCAGGAUCAUUUAAAGUAAAAGGUUUUUGACAACUGGAAUAGACACUGUGAGAGUCUGGGGCCUCAGCCUAGCGAGCCCCAGGCAAACAAGGACAGAAAGAAUGGCACCCAGAGUCCAUCUCUGACUCAAUUAGGGAGAAUCAAUCUUGUCACUGAGUUUCCAAGGAAAUUCAAUUACAGGUCAAGUGUGGGAAGCUGGCUAACUGGGGCUUAAGCAGCGGACAUGGCAGGCGGUCGAUAGCUGCCUGGGGAUGAGUUUGACUUCAAAGCCCCCGAAUCUGCCGUGAGAAAAGGCAGAUGUGGUCGCAGGAAGCCAAGGCUGGCUGACCACCCAGAGCCAAAGCCAAGGGUCCAGACCGGGAACUGUGAAGGCCCCCACUGCCCUUAGUAGCUUAGUUACCGGUUAUGAUGGGUGACUGACUCACAGGGGCUCGUGGGAAAGACCACCAGGGCCCGGGAGGGACCUCCAGCACCAGUGUGUGCAGUCUGUAUGGGCAGAAACCAUACUAGACACACACAGCGCGCUGGAGGAGAAGUCUUCACUCUUCUAAGGGAAAGGGUCGGGAGAUGUUUUUCUCUGUGAGAUGUUUUUCUCUGUGAGGUUCGGAGUCGUUCGCCCCCUAGUGGUCGCACAGAUGUUGGCAAGGCAUGUUUACUGUGAGGACCCCCAAACCCAGAGCUGGACAGCGUACCCUGAUGGUGAGUUUGGAGAAGCCAACAGCCUCGCAUUCCACCCCCACCCCCAGCCCCCGACAGCACAAGGACACACUGUAAGGCUGUGCGUGUCCAUGCAGAAAUGACAGAGAACAUUCACCGAGACCGUCACCACCGCAGUGUGGAAGUAACCCAAAUGCCCGAUGCUGGGAGACCGCUUAUGUAGAGAUGGUCUGCAGAGCAGAAUGGAGUCGAACUUGUCCUAUGGGAAAGGAAAACAUUAAGGAAGUGCCAAGGCAGAGGGCAUUUCCGGAAACCCCUCCACCCGGGCUGGAAGCACGGAACUCGGCAGUAUCUGGGAAGUGACCUUCGCGCAAUCGGCUAACUGCAUUUGUUUGUUUGGUGAGUGGUUAGGGUAGGCCCUCGGCAUCUCACGUGCUAAGCAGUGCCCUGCCCCUGACACACACCAGCCCACAGUCCUGUAUUUAAAUUUUUAAAAAUUUUGUAUGUGUUCUUUGUAUGUGUAUCUGUGCACCACACAUGUGCUUGGUGCCCAGGGAGACCGGAAGAUGACAUCAGAUCCCCUGGGACUACGGUUACAGAUGGUUGUGAGUCUCCAUGUGGUGUCCGUAGCAGAACCCUGGUCCUCUGGAAGAACAGCCAUCGUAACCAUUCAGCCAUCUUUCCAGUCCAGCGCUGUGGUUAUUGGAAUCAUUUCUUUUUCACACAGUUCCAGAGAGUAAGACAGGAAAGGAGAAUCCACGAAUCCACUUACCUGAGGACUCACGGUAUACAGUGUGAAAACAACCCCUGAAACCAGAGUCGGGCUUCCUCACGAGGGGAAAGCUGACCUCUUUCUGGAUGGGGUAACGGGCAAUCAGAGCCGCGGCUUCGCUAGACAGCUGACCACCCCAAGGCUACAAGGAAACUGACUCUGAACUGGAUCUGGCUCCAUUUCAGUCCUUCAGUACUGGUAUGGACAGAGGAUAGCCUUUAUUAGAUGGCUGUACACCAAGGUCAUGGGACACAGGAUCAGCUCUCAGUCUAGUCAGACGGAGAAGAUUCAUGGAGCCAGAGGGGACAGACAGUUCAUCUACUCAGGUGGAAGGCAAGAGAAACAGACUGGCUACAUGAUGGAGGAGUCCACAGUUUACACAAUUUUAACUACUUUUUGAGGAUACAUUGUUUGUUUCAAAAGCCCACCCUCACCAGGCAUGAUAGUGCAAGUCUUUAAUCCCAGCUCUAGGGAGACAGAGGCAGGUGGAUCUCUGUGAGUUCCAGGACAGCCAGAGCUAUGUAGAUAUUAUCUCAACAACACCUCCCCUCCCCGGGGGAAACAAAACAAAACAAAACCCAUGCUCAUUGACCUCCUUCUGCCUGCUGACCUACCUCCUAAAAUUCCUCUACAGCCUUUCAAAACAUCACCCCCACGGAGUAAACAAUGCUCCAGAGGGUGAGCCUGAAGAGGCUUUCAGAUCCAAACUCUACAGACUUUAAAAAUUAACUCGGUAGUUAAGCAAGUGACAUUAAUUCACCCAAACAUGGGGUGUGGAAAGAUAAAAGAUGAAGCGGCUGAUAAACCACCA